CCUUUGUACACACCGCCCGUCGCUACUACCGAUUGAAUGGCUCAGUGAGGCUUUCGGACUGGCCCAGAGAGGCGGGCAACUGCCACUCAGGGCCGGAAAGUUAUCCAAACUCGGUCAUUUAGAGG
rnacentral:rRNA from 1 species